CUGGGGAGUACGGUCGCAAGAUUAAAACUCAAAGGAAUUGACGGGGACCCGCACAAGCGGUGGAUGAUGUGGAUUAAUUCGAUGCAACGCGAAAAACCUUACCUACCCUUGACAUGGAAGGAAUCCUUGAGAGAUUGAGGAGUGCCCGAAAGGGAACCUUUACACAGGUGCUGCAUGGCUGUCGUCAGCUCGUGUCGUGAGAUGUUGGGUUAAGUCCCGCAACGAGCGCAACCCUUGCCAUUAAUUGCCAUCAUUUAGUUGGGCACUUUAAUGGGACUGCCGGUGACAAACCGGAGGAAGGUGGGGAUGACGUCAAGUCCUCAUGGCCCUUAUGGCCAGGGCUUCACACGUAAUACAAUGGUCGGUACAGAGGGUUGCCAACCCGCGAGGGGGAGCCAAUCCCAGAAAGCCGAUCGUAGUCCGGAUUGCAGGCUGCAACUCGCCUGCAUGAAGUCGGAAUCGCUAGUAAUCGCGGAUCAGCAUGUCGCGGUGAAUACGUUCCCGGGCCUUGUACACACCGCCCGUCACACCAUGGGAGUGGGUUUUACCAGAAGUAGGUAGUCUAACCGCAAGGGGGACGCUUACCACGGUAGUAUCCAUGACUGGGGUGAAGU
rnacentral:rRNA from 1 species